rfam:Nematostella vectensis strain CH2 x CH6 NEMVEscaffold_182_Cont17643, whole genome shotgun sequence.
GAUGAAUGCUAAAGACUGGAAGACAUGAGAAUUGAGAACCAUGUCUUGAAAGAUAUCAGUAGGGG